rnacentral:rRNA from 1 species
ACUCCUACGGGAGGCAGCAGUGGGGAAUUUUGGACAAUGGGCGAAAGCCUGAUCCAGCAAUGCCGCGUGUGUGAAGAAGGCCUUCGGGUUGUAAAGCACUUUUGUCCGGAAAGAAAUCCUUGGCUCUAAUACAGUCGGGGGAUGACGGUACCGGAAGAAUAAGCACCGGCUAACUACGUGCCAGCAGCCGCGGUAAUACGUAGGGUGCGAGCGUUAAUCGGAAUUACUGGGCGUAAAGCGUGCGCAGGCGGUUUGCUAAGACCGAUGUGAAAUCCCCGGGCUCAACCUGGGAACUGCAUUGGUGACUGGCAGGCUAGAGUAUGGCAGAGGGGGGUAGAAUUCCACGUGUAGCAGUGAAAUGCGUAGAGAUGUGGAGGAAUACCGAUGGCGAAGGCAGCCCCCUGGGCCAAUACUGACGCUCAUGCACGAAAGCGUGGGGAGCAAACAGGAUUAGAAACCCUUGUAGUCCC